GGGGGCGACCUGGCUUCGACGUGGGUUGCGAAACCUGAAGUGCAUGCCGAGAAUGAGAUCUCUCGUAAAAAAGGCUCAAAUAAACACAAAUGCAAAAAAUGAUGCAAACUUUGAAGGUGAAGCUGGUUCUAUUGCUGCAUAAGCAUUAGUAUCAACAAACCGUCAAAACCGUGUGCUGCAAAAAAACCAGCACCCCGUUGCCCACGCCUGCUUAUAGGUAGUGGAAUCAACGGUCAUAGAAGAUAAGCUAGCGAUCUGACUGUCCCGCAUCAAGUCGCGAAAUUCAGGGAAUCGUCGUGUAUCAUCCUGCCAGUCGGAGGGUCCACGAUUAAAUUCAAAAGACCAGGCUAUGCAUGUAGAGCUGACGGCAGAGGAUUUGCGGACGCGGGUUCGAUUCCCGCCGCCUCCACCA
rnacentral:tmRNA from 1 species